GACCCACCUCUGUGCCUGCCGACGCCGCUGCCCUAGUGCUCUCUGCCUUGAGCAAAUCCACGCAACCCAUUUGUGCUGGUAGCCACAGUUCUGGUGUGGAUCAACAAGCACGGCUACGAGUUGGCAAUUUAUUUAGUUGCUAGCGGCGACAAGUUGAUCUUCAGUUGUGCGGUUGACAGAAUCUUUAGAGUGGUGCAGAUUUAAAUUGGGACUUUGAUUCGAGA